rnacentral:rRNA from 1 species
GGAGCCGUAGCGAAAGCGAGUUUCAACUGAGCGUUGAGUAAGUUGACGUAGACCCGAAACCGGGCGACCUACCCAUGGGCAGGAUGGUGCGAAAGUAAAAUUUCGUGAAGGCCCGAACCCACGUGCGUGGAAAAGCUCGGGGAUGACUUGUGGGUAGCAGUGAAAUUCCAAUCGAGCCCGGAGAUAGCUGGUUCUCCCCGAAAUA